AUGGCGAUCCUGUCAGCUUCGCAUGCCACUGCGCACCGCUGGCUGCACAGCCUCCCGCCACGCGCGCCUGGAGAGGCCCCCAGGGCAACACGUUGGUGGAUGCGCUGGAGCGUGGGCACAGAAUGGCCGCCUGCCGCGGCAAGCGCCUUGCCGCUGCUGUUAUCUUGUCGGGUCCGGAAGGUUGUCGCUCACCGGGCCUCGAGGUAUCUGGGCUGGUCUUCCCGGCAAGCUCCUCUUGCCGGGGCCUUGUUGCCUUGCUGGAGGAUCUUGGCGUUCGCCCGGGAGUCCAGCUAUCCAGAACACCCAACUAUUUCAUCCGGUGAACUGCGAAGAGCUUCUGUGUGCGUCUCCGUUAUAUUUAACUACGACAGGCUUAUGUUAUCUUAUCGCGAACUCAUUUUUCAGUUCGUGCCCAACGUGACUGCAUGUAAAUAUGUAAUACAACAAUUUUGUUCUUCCUUUUUGUUGUUCGAUUGA
rnacentral:rRNA from 1 species